rnacentral:rRNA from 1 species
AGAGUUUGAUCCUGGCUCAGAUUGAACGCUGGCGGCGUGCCUAACACAUGCAAGUCGAGCGGUAACAGGUGUAGCAAUACAUGCUGACGAGCGGCGAACGGGUGAGUAAUGCUUUGGAAUCUUCCCAGUAGUGGGGAAUAACCAGUCGAAAGAUUGGCUAAUACCGCAUACGUCUGUAAAGGGAAAGCGGGGGCUCGUAAGACCUCGCGCUAUUGGAUGAGCCAAAGUCGGAUUAGCUAGUUGGUGGGGUAAUGGCCUACCAAGGCGACAAUCCGUAGCUGGUCUGAGAGGACGACCAGCCACACCGGAACUGAGACACGGUCCGGACUCCUACGGGAGGCAGCAGUGGGGAAUAUUGGACAAUGGGGGAAACCCUGAUCCAGCGACGCCGCGUGUGUGAAGAAGGCCUGCGGGUUGUAAAGCACUUUUAGUGGGGACAAAAAGCUACGGAUUAAUACUCUGUGGUCUUGAUUUAACCCAAAGAAAAAGCACCGGCUAACUCUGUGCCAGCAGCCGCGGUAAUACAGAGGGUGCGAGCGUUAAUCGGAAUUACUGGGCGUAAAGCGCGCGUAGACGGUUUUGUAAGUCAGAUGUGAAAUCCCUGGGCUCAACCUGGGAACUGCAUUUGAUACUGCAUGGCUAGAGUAUCGAAGAGGGAAGUGGAAUUUCCGGUGUAGCGGUGAAAUGCGUAGAUAUCGGAAGGAACACCAGUGGCGAAAGCGACUUCCUGGUCGAAUACUGACGUUCAUGUGCGAAAGCGUGGGGAGCAAACAGGAUUAGAUACCCUGGUAGUCCACGCCCUAAACGAUGCGAACUGGAUGUUGGUCUCAACUCGGAGAUCAGUGUCGAAGCUAACGCGUUAAGUUCGCCGCCUGGGGAGUACGGUCGCAAGACUGAAACUCAAAGGAAUUGACGG